rnacentral:rRNA from 1 species
CCGGCACGGGUGAGUAACACGUAUCCAACCUGCCGUCUACUCUUGGACAGCCUUCUGAAAGGAAGAUUAAUACAAGAUGGCAUCAUGAGUCCGCAUGUUCACAUGAUUAAAGGUAUUCCGGUAGACGAUGGGGAUGCGUUCCAUUAGAUAGUAGGCGGGGUAACGGCCCACCUAGUCUUCGAUGGAUAGGGGUUCUGAGAGGAAGGUCCCCCACAUUGGAACUGAGACACGGUCAA